AGCGAACGCUGGCGGCAGGCCUAACACAUGCAAGUCGAACGAACCCUUCGGGGUUAGUGGCGGACGGGUGAGUAACACGUGGGAACGUGCCUUUAGGUUCGGAAUAACUCAGGGAAACUUGUGCUAAUACCGAAUGUGCCCUUCGGGGGAAAGAUUUAUCGCCAUUGGAGCGGCCCGCGUUGGAUUAGGUAGUUGGUGAGGUAAAGGCUCACCAAGCCUACGAUCCAUAGCUGGUCUGAGAGGAUGAUCAGCCACACUGGGACUGAGACACGGCCCAGACUCCUACGGGAGGCAGCAGUAGGGAAUCUUGCGCAAUGGGCGAAAGCCUGACGCAGCCAUGCCGCGUGAAUGAUGAAGGUCUUAGGAUUGUAAAAUUCUUUCACCGGGGAAGAUAAUGACGGUACCCGGAGAAGAAGCCCCGGCUAACUUCGUGCCAGCAGCCGCCGUAAGAC
rnacentral:rRNA from 1 species